GCCUGGAUGGCUCAGUCAGUUAAGCAUCUGACUCUAGCUCAUGAUCUCAGUUUGUGGGUUCAAGCCCCAUGUCAGGCU
rnacentral:tRNA from 1 species